rnacentral:rRNA from 1 species
GACAGAGGCCUCAAGCGUUAGGCGGAAUCACUGGGCUUAAAGCGUGUGUAGGCGGAUCGUUAAGUGUCUUGUGAAAUCCCACGGCUCACCCGUGGAACUGCUGGGCAUACUGGCGAUCUUGGGCCAACUAGGGGCAACUGGAACAAGCGGUGGAGCGGUGAAAUGCGUAGAUAUCGCUUGGAACGCCAAAGGUGAAAAACAGGUUGCUGGGGUUGUG